AGUAUAUUAUCAGUGAUUUGGCCUCCGCGAGAAUUAUUGAACAAGAUUCUCCGGUACCUUCAGAAUGGCUAUCUUCUGUGUAUAAACAGCAGUGGCUUGCUAUGCUCUGGGCAGAACAAGACAGUGAGGUGGGGCCACAAGAAAUCAAUAAAGAAGAGCUAGAUGGAAAUAGCAUGAGGUGUGGUAGAAAGCUUACCAAAGAUGGUGAAUACUGCUGGUGGUGGACAGGUUUUAACUUCGGCUUUGACCUGCCUGUAACUUACACCAAUCGAUACAUCAUUUUCAAACGCAAUACACUGAAUCAGCCAUGUAGUGGAUCUGUCAGUUUACAACGUCGAAGGAGCACAGCAUUUAGAUUACGUUUGGCUUCUUUUGAUAGUAGUGGAAAACCAAUAUGUAGUAGAACAACUGGCUAUCAAAUACUUACACUUGAAAAGGACCAAGAACAAGUAGUGAUGAACCUGGACAGCAGGCUUCUGAUCUUCCCUUUAUAUAUCUGCUGUAACUUCCUGUAUAUAUCGCCAGAAAAAAGAACUGAAAAUAAUCAUCAUCCAGAAAAUCCAGAAAACUGAGGAGCUCAUCAGCUGGAAACAGUAGCGCCUUGUAAACUUUUCUGGCCAGCUUUAAUUUAAUGGCCCUGCAGAUAAUUCACAUCUAAGGUGACUAACAGUGACAAAGGCCUUAUGAACUGUUCAGAUAAUACAGAAGACUAUUCUUAUCCUCAUUACAUUUCUAUGCAUAUAUAAAAAAACAUUUUAAAGCCAAGAAAAUAUCUGUCAAACCGUUUGUUAUAAAGAUGUCAACUCAUGCUUUUUAAUUUGGCAUCAGUAGAAAAUUGCCGUAGGUAAAUUUCACAUUUCUCUGCAACCAAAUAUAGAGUUAAUUUUUAGCUUGAACUUUGAUCCUACCUAAUGUUAGUGAACCUCAAUUAUCCAUCUGUAAGUUUUAUUUUUAUUUGGCUAAAAGAAUGCCAAAGGAAUAAUUUGGCCAAUUAUAAAUGCUGUUUCAGUUGGUGUGUUUAAAGCUGUCCUUUAAUUUUUUCAACUUCUCUUUAUGAUUCCUCCUCCUAGUUGAAUAUUCUUCCAAUCUAUAUAUGUUUUUAAUCAUUAAAUUUUUUUUCAUGGUAAAAAAAAAAAAAA